UACGAAGGGGGCUAGCGUUGCUCGGAAUUACUGGGCGUAAAGGGCGCGUAGGCGGACAGUUAAGUCAGAGGUGAAAGCCCAGGGCUCAACCUUGGAAUUGCCUUUGAUACUGGCUGUCUUGAGUACGGGAGAGGUGUGUGGAACUCCGAGUGUAGAGGUGAAAUUCGUAGAUAUUGGGAAGAACACCGGUGGCGAAGGCGGCUCACUGGCUCGUUUCUGACGCUCAGGCGCGACAGCGUGGGGAGCAAACAGG
rnacentral:rRNA from 1 species